rnacentral:lncRNA from 1 species
UAUUUCCCAGAAGUUCAUCAAAGUUCAUCAAGUUCUUUGCUUUUUCCAGAAAACGGGAAAAAUAUGGGUAAAACCCAUAAUAACAAUAAUACUACAAACGACAUUCAACAGUGAAAAUACCACUACCAAACACCAAAAUCUCACUAAAAAACAGAGAUCUAAACUACUAACAGAUGGAAUUCAACACAAAAUCAAAAUGGGUAUAGAAAGUAAGCACCAAAAUCUACUCUAACCCAAGCACAAUCAAAAGGGGUACUAAAGAAAACCCAAAAUGCAAACACAAACAUAUUGAAACAAGCCAAACCAAAGAUAGUUGAAGAAGUUACCUGAAAUCAAGCAAAGAUGGAAGCUUCGAAUGAAGGAAAGGAGCGCAAA